rnacentral:rRNA from 1 species
GACGAGCGCUGGCGGCGUGCCUAAUACAUGCAAGUCGAGCGAGCUUGCCUAGAUGAAUUUGGUGCUUGCACCAAAUGAAACUAGAUACAAGCGAGCGGCGGACAGGUGAGUAACACGUGGGUAACCUGCCCAAGAGACUGGGAUAACACCUGGAAACAGAUGCUAAUACCGGAUAACAACACUAGACGCAUGUCUAGAGUUUAAAAGAUGGUUCUGCUAUCACUCUUGGAUGGACCUGCGGUGCAUUAGCUAGUUGGUAAGGUAACGGCUUACCAAGGCAAUGAUGCAUAGCCGAGUUGAGAGACUGAUCGGCCACAUUGGGACUGAGACACGGCCCAAACUCCUACGGGAGGCAGCAGUAGGGAAUCUUCCACAAUGGACGCAAGUCUGAUGGAGCAACGCCGCGUGAGUGAAGAAGGGUUUCGGCUCGUAAAGCUCUGUUGGUAGUGAAGAAAGAUAGAGGUAGUAACUGGCCUUUAUUUGACGGUAAUUACUUAGAAAGUCACGGCUAACUACGUGCCAGCAGCCGCGGUAAUACGUAGGUGGCAAGCGUUAUCCGGAUUUAUUGGGCGUAAAGAGAGAGUGCAGGCGGUUUUCUAAGUCUGAUGUGAAAGCCUUCGGCUUAACCGGAGAAGUGCAUCGGAAACUGGAUAACUUGAGUGCAGAAGAGGGUAGUGGAACUCCAUGUGUAGCGGUGGAAUGCGUAGAUAUAUGGAAGAACACCAGUGGCGAAGGCGGCUCUCUGGUCUGCAACUGACGCUGAGGCUCGAAAGCAUGGGUAGCGAACAGG